AUUUGGUUCAAGGGCGACUAAUAUAUCACUUCUACGUCACACACUAAUACAAUAUAAAAUGCAGUAAUAACGACAACAAAUUAUUUACAAUGAAGACUUUGUUAGUUUUACUUCUAGCUGUGAGUCUGCUGACCACCACGUUCUCUUUAGAGGAUGGAGCCGAUGUUGCACGUGAAAAUAGGCUAAGAAGAGCACUGAUGCCAGCGGCAGUUCCAGGUCAGAGCGCAAAGGCCUCCUCUGCAUUUUGCUGAACAAAAAAGCCAAAUUAAGACUGCAAUAGGCAACUAGACAAUGGUCAUUUGUCAUUGACAGUUUUAAGUUACACUGACAUGUCAGUAUUACCAACCUUGUUACAUUGUAUUCACCGCGGGGUACUGGAUGACUGCUGGAUACGAAAAGCUCGAGAAGGGCAAGUUCCAGUAAGAUGCUACCAUAGGCAACGGAUCAAUGUUGUAUAUAUGUACAUAAAAUGCUUCAAUUAUUCAUAUUAAUCUAGUUCACUUACGUCGAUUCUUGUGUUUUGAGUACAUAUAAUAUUUGUUUAGCAUUUUUGUAUUACCAACAAUAAGGGUAUAAAUGUGACAUAAUUAUUGCGUAGUCAUGUAUAUACAUUCUGUUUAAAGUAAAAGGCAAUAUAUCCAUAAACAUAUGAAAGUCAACAAAAUCGAGAGAUUUUAUGGUAUGAUUUUAUGUACUCCUUUGCAUCAAGCAAGUCUUUAAAAUAAAUAUAAAUAUAUACACUUUACGAAACAGCGAAUUUAUAAGGCAAGCCAAUUUUGAAAAAUGUAAAACAAAUUUCUUCUUUACCCUGUCUUAAGUUUAGAAUAAAUUUGAAUUAAUAUGUGUAUUUGAUUGAAUAUCUGUGAAAAAUCAAUAUAUAGAUAUAUAUAUAGAUA